rnacentral:rRNA from 1 species
AUGAAGUCGGAAUUGCUAGUAAUCGCAGAUCAGCAUGCUGCGGUGAAUACGUUCCCGGGCCUUGUACACACCGCCCGUCACACCAUGGGAGUCGGUAACACCCGAAGCCUGUAGUCUAACCGCAAGGAGGACGCAGUCGAAGGUGGGAUUGAUGACUGGGGUGAAGUCGUAACAAGGUAAC